AACGAGGCCGACCUGCGGCUGAGUUACCUGCGGAAGGAUCAUUAACGCAUCUUCUGGCGGAGGCGGAUGGACCCAGCUCCGAACCCCAAAAGGGUUCGUGUCAGCGGGCUCGCUGUCGACGUCCAAACCUUUGCAAACCCAACUGUGCACCUUUGCGGCAGAGGGCUGGCAACGGCCCGAUGCCGCUUCACUAAACACUAGUCGAUGAAUGUUUGUGCGACGCUCUGCGUUGCCUAAUAA
rnacentral:misc_RNA from 1 species